GACGAACGCUGGCGGCGUGCCUAAUACAUGCAAGUCGGACGCACAGUCUAUACCGUAGCUUGCUACACCAUAGGCUGUGAGUUGCGAACGGGUGAGUAACGCGUAGGUAACCUGCCUAUUAGAGGGGGAUAACUAUUGGAAACGAUAGCUAAUACCGCAUAACAGUAUGUAACACAUGUUAGAUGCUUGAAAGAUGCAAUUGCAUCGCUAGUAGAUGGACCUGCGUUGUAUUAGCUAGUAGGUAGGGUAAUGGCCUACCUAGGCGACGAUACAUAGCCGACCUGAGAGGGUGAUCGGCCACACUGGGACUGAGACACGGCCCAGACUCCUACGGGAGGCAGCAGUAGGGAAUCUUCGGCAAUGGGGGGAACCCUGACCGAGCAACGCCGCGGGAGUGAAGAAGGUUUUCGGAUCGUAAAGCUCUGUUGUUAAGGAAGAACGAGUGUGAGAAUGGAAAGUUCAUACUGUGACGGUACUUAACCAGAAAGGGACGGCUAACUACGUG
rnacentral:rRNA from 1 species